AUUGAACGCUGGCGGCAUGCCUUACACAUGCAAGUCGAACGGUAACAGGUCUUCGGAUGCUGACGAGUGGCGAACGGGUGAGUAAUACAUCGGAACGUGCCCGAUCGUGGGGGAUAACGAAGCGAAAGCUUUGCUAAUGCCGCAUAAGAUCUACGGAUGAAAGCAGGGGACCGCAAGGCCUUGCGCGAACGGAGCGGCCGAUGGCAGAUUAGGUAGUUGGUGGGAUAAAAGCUUACCAAGCCGACGAUCUGUAGCUGGUCUGAGAGGACGACCAGCCACACUGGGACUGAGACACGGCCCAGACUCCUACGGGAGGCAGCAGUGGGGAAUUUUGGACAAUGGGCGAAAGCCUGAUCCAGCCAUGCCGCGUGCAGGAUGAAGGCCUUCGGGUUGUAAACUGCUUUUGUACGGAACGAAAAGACUCUUUCUAAUAAAGAGGGUCCAUGACGGUACCGUAAGAAUAAGCACCGGCUAACUACGUGCCAGCCGCCGCGGUAAAAC
rnacentral:rRNA from 1 species